ACUUCUCAGCUAGCACAGUGACCACCUCUUCCAUGCUGUUUGAAGUUCUGGCUGUCUUGUGGGGUCCAUUGUUACCACAGUAGAAUCCAACCAAGAAUAUUUGGAAACUACUCAUACCAGAAUCACAUGAAUCUUGUGAACAGUGAAGCUGUCUACACCUUCUAAAUCAAUCCAUACAACAACUGGGAGAGGUAAGUGUAUUCACACCCAUUUUUCUUUACAGAUGAAGAAACUGAAACUCAGAAAAAUUUAUGUCCUACCGCAGGCCACAUAGCUAGUAAGUCCCAGAGCCCCGAUGGAAACGUGAGUCUGCCUGGCACUAGAGCUCAUGCUCCUUCAGCAACAACAUGGUACAGAAUGAAAUAAUGUGGGAGAGGCUGGGCACGGUGGCUCACUCCUAUAAUCCCAGCACUUUGGGAGGCCGAGGCAGGUAGAUCAUGUGAGGUCAGGAGUUCAGACCAGCCUGGCCAACAUGAUGAAACCCCCCACUCUACUAAAAAUACAAAAAUUACCCAGGCGUGAUGGCACAUGCCUAUAUUCCCAGCUACUCAGGAGGCUGAGGCAGGAGAAUCACUUGAACCUGGGAGGUGGAGGUUGUGGUGAGCCAAGACCGUGCCAUUACACUCCAGCCUGGGCAAUAAGAGCGAAACUCCAUCUCGAAAAAUAAAAUAAAAUGAAGAAACAAUGCGGGAGGAUGAACACAUGGAUGCUGCCUGCUACAACUUCAGCAGCAGAGUCUUGGACAUCCACCUUGCGCAAGACAUUCCUGAGUGGCACUGCUGUGUUUCUCACACAGCACCUUGGCCUCAGUAGACAACCAUGGGACAAGGAAGACUGGGGACUGCAUCAAGACCUGAGGUGAGACAGGAAUGGAGUGGACAGCAGCUACAGAAGGUGGGAGCCGUAUGAGUUCAGCUGUGGAUCAUCCAGGCAGAAGAACAGGAUGUCACGAUGCUCAAGAGUUAAGAAACUGGAGUGUCCCCAGAGAUGACAAGCAAUCUAUGAAGAGACCUAUUCAACAAAGUGGGUAGGGAUGCAGAGAACAACAGAGAAAUGAACAGAAAAUAACAGAGCCCCAUCACUGUGCCCAGUUUUCAGGACAGGCUGCGGUCCCUGGGGUGAGAGCAAAGUGACGGAGAAAAAGGCACGGCCGUCUCCAGAACUGAGACCUGGCCUUGGCCCCAGCAAUAGGGCAGAAGCCCAGAAAUCACAGCUGGAUGCAUGGUCGGGUUGGACCAGUGGCAAGGGGGCAGAGUCCUAGCACAUUGUCUGGAAGGAGGCAUUUCCCACUCUUCCGUGGACCACCAUGCUCGCUGGGGAGGGUGAGGGGUAGCUUGGGUGCGCUGGGCUAAGCAAAGCUCACCAGAUACUUUACUGAUGUUUUUGCCAAGGCAUUUGUAUACUCAGAUGAAUUUUGAUAUCUCCAAAAAGGGGCCAUAAGUCAUUUCCCAAACAUAUUUGAUCACAGUGUUACUGGCGGCGAAUCCUUAUGUGUCUGCAGCAACCUCAAUUCUUGCCUCCUCAGAAGGAAGAAUUCUACUAAGGGCCAUAAGGCCAAAGGAGAGAUUGAGGCAAGUUUUAGAGCAGGACUAGAAGUUUAUUUAAAAGCUUUAGAGCAGGAAUAAAAGGAAGUAAACUACAUUUGGAAGAGGGCCAAGCAGGCGACCUGAAAGGCAAGUGCACUCUUUGACCUUUGACUUGGGGUUUUAUACGUUGGCAUGCUUCUGGGGUCUUGGCGUCUGUCCCUUUUCCCCGGAUUCUUCCCUUGGGGUAGGCUGUCCGCAUGCACGGUGGCCGUCCAGCACUUGGGAGGGGCCCCAUGCACAGUGUGUUUACUGAAGUUGUACGCACGCUCCCUUGAGCUAUUCUUCCUUUACCACGUGAGUGUUCCUAUAAGGUCAUAUACCAAUUAAACUCUGCCAUUUCGCCUCUUAGUGCGCAUGCUUGAGCCUACUCACCCAACGCCUGAGAUCUUAUCUGGAAGCUGCUGAUCACCAGUUUCAGGUUUUUUCUAUCUACUGAGAGACUGCCUUUCCCUGGCACUGGCUGUGACCAAUUAUUAUUUUAGAAAGGCAGUUUAACAACCACCUGACCAUCACUAGAUGGUUGAUGGUUGCCUGACAUUCCUGGUGGGAAGUCGGGGGGGCCUCCCCUGCCCUGUUCAUGUCUGACUAGCUACCUACUGUAACAACAGCAUUCCUUUUUUGUUCUUUAACAGAUCGUCUAUGGUUAUCUUCCAGGAUAUCAAAAUAAUAUUUAAAAAGCAAUGAGGUUGUAAGCUUUGGGUCUGUUAAUAAAAUAGAUAAAUAGAUAAUAAGGUAGUGUUUUUUAAAUACACUCUUCACACUCAACAUUGAAAAUAUGUCCUUAAAAUGGAGCAAUGCCGGGCCAGCAGGUGGGGAUCCAGGAGUCCUAGCCACGCAGAGGGGACUGCAGGGCUGGAGACCAGGCAGGGCCAGACAGACACAAGGAGAAUAAUACAUAGAAAUGUGGUUCCUGGGCCAGGUGCAGUGGCUCAUGCCUGUAAUCCCAGCACUUUGGGAGGCCAACGCAAGCAGAUCACUUGGGGUCAGGAGUUUGAGACCAGCCUGGCCAACAUGGUGAAACCCCGUCUCUAUUAAAAAUACAAAAAAAACAUAUUAGCCAGGCAUGAUAAUGAGUGCCUGUAAUUCUAGCUUCUUGGGAGGCUGAGGCUGGAGAAUUGCUUGAACCUGGGAGGCAGAGGCUGCAGUGAGAUGAAAUCAUGCCAUUGCACUCCAACCUGGGCAACAGAGUGAGACUUCGUCUCCAAAAAAAAAAAAAAAGUAGUUUCUGCUGUCAGAUGUUUAGAUGUUUACACUCCAUAGCAC
rnacentral:lncRNA from 10 species